AAAGAGACACCAAAAGCAAACAAAACAAAACUAUAACGAAAAAAAAAUAUGCUGGGAUGGGAUGGAGAUGGGUUGCCGUUGCUUGUUGCUGGUGGAUUCUUCUUGGCCGAUUUUUUAUAAUUUCUUUUUUUUUUGCUUUU
rnacentral:ribozyme from 1 species